CCGGGCCUCGGGGACCGCGCAGGGCGAGGCCCGGGCUGUCCUCCUCCCGUGUCACGUCGCUACAGCCGAGCGACAUGAAGGCGACGCCGAACGCCAUCCCCAGGUCCCGCCGAAGCCCCUGGCUCUGAACAGGUCCCAGAGCCCCUGUCCCAGAAGCCUCAGACCUUUUCCCGGAUUUGUAAUUCAUCUGCAGUGAUGGAAAGUUCUGGAUCUUAAUCAGUGGUGACCAUGCUUCAGCCUCUGGCCAAGCCAGGACCUUCAGCCUCUGGAAGCCCUGGGCCCCAAGCACCUGAGUUUAUGAGACGCUAUGUAGGAGGUGUGGAGAAACUCCUCUCAAAUCUUUUUAAAGCUGCUCUCAGCCUGUUCUCCUAGCUUACCUCUAUUCCUCUCUGUCACCCACCAACCUAAGAAGCCCUCCCUACCAGGCAACCCACAGCCACACUUUCCUAUGAUCCAGAGAGGGUAACAGACGCCAAGGGAUGGAACUCUCACUCAACGAAGACCAGACCAGAAAUCAGCAUCUACAGGCACCUCAAUCAAGCUAAGCCCCAAUGCCUACACACCAGUGCAAAACCCACAAUGACCCAGGAGCCCUACCCUACUAUAGUAAGCCAUAAGAAAGGCAAUAUAGC
rnacentral:lncRNA from 1 species